UACGUAGGGGGCAAGCGUUGUUCGGAAUUACUGGGCGUAAAGGGCGCGUAGGCGGCACAGCAAGUCGGGAGUGAAAGCCCGGGGCUCAACCCCGGAACGGCAUCCGAGACGGCCAGGCUGGAGACCGGGAGAGGAGAGUGGAAUAGCCAGUGUAGAGGUGAAAUUCGUAGAUAUUGGCUGGAACACCGGUGGCGAAAGCGGCUCUCUGGCCCGGUUCUGACGCUGAGGCGCGAAAGCGUGGGGAGCAAACAGG
rnacentral:rRNA from 1 species